GAUAUAAAUAAUUAUUAAAGUGAAUGUAACACCGGUAUUCCCUGAACACCCUGGAAGGCCUUUGUGGGGUUAUUUGAACAGUCAAACUGCUAUAAUGCCCCAUAACCGGACAUAGGCCCAUCAAAUCCAUCUAUGAAAAUUCUAACCAUAGAAACUGAAAUAGCCUGGUCUCUUAUGUGGCAUUAUAGCUUCACAGCAAAGUGUCAAAGGCAUACAAAAGGAGAAUCUUUGUACUCAGCCGAAUCGUGGUACUCACCAUAUGUUGCUGAACACAAUAUGUGAUUUUGUAC